UUGAUUGGGAGGCGCGAUACG
rnacentral:siRNA from 1 species